UUUUAAAGCAAUCGGGAGCCAAAGAGGUUCAUGUUCGUGAGGCCUCUCCACCAAUUAAGUAUCCAUGUUACAUGGGGAUAAACAUUCCAACAAAAGAAGAGCUCAUAGCCAACAAGCUAUCCCUUGACAAGUUAUAAGUUUACUUGGGAGCAGACAGUGUGGGG